AUCGCUUCCGGCCUUUGUGGCUAAGAUCAAGUGUAGUAUCUGUUCUUCUCAGUGUGACAGCUGGGACCGUCCCUACUGGGACGUCUAUUGUCACCCUGAUUUUUGGAACUAGGGAUGCAGUUAGGGGCUUGCUCCGCUCUUCCCACGGGUUGACUCGCUAUUGCAGUACCGGCGAGCUCGGCCCACUCCCC
rfam:Oikopleura dioica, whole genome shotgun assembly, reference scaffold set, scaffold scaffold_1